rnacentral:rRNA from 1 species
GAUGAACGCUAGCGGCAGGCCUAACACAUGCAAGUCGAGGGGUAGAGUUAGCUUGCUAACUUGAGACCGGCGCACGGGUGCGUAACGCGUAUGCAAUCUACCUUGUACAGAGGGAUAGCCCAGAGAAAUUUGGAUUAAUACCUCAUAGUGUUAUAGAGUGGCAUCACUUUAUGACUAAAGUUCCAACGGUACAAGAUGAGCAUGCGUCCCAUUAGUUAGUUAGUGUGGUAACGGCACACCAAGACGAUGAUGGGUAGGGUCCUGAGAGGGAGAUCCCCCACACUGGUACUGAGACACGGACCAGACUCCUACGGGAGGCAGCAGUGAGGAAUAUUGGGCAAGUGGAGGCAACUCUGACCCAGCCAUGCCGCGUGCAGGAAGACGGUCCUAUGGAUUGUAAACUGCUUUUGUACGGGAAGAAACCACUCUUCGUGAAGAGUCUUGACGGUACCGUAAGAAUAAGGAUCGGCUAACUCCGUGCCAGCAGCCG